GCCUCACACGUCCAGCGCGCCCCAUCAACGAGCACCGCUGACGCCAGCCAGGACGGACCGGACGAGCCACUCCAAUGGAAGCUCCACCGCACCCAAAACCCGCUCAAGAUAAGACUUUCAAAAAUUGUUCAAUGACAGUUGUUAUAUUCCUACCUCUCCUAGCGCUCUUCACCUCCACCAAAGGUGACCCUCAUGCCCUCAAAAGGUUAACCUGGCAGUUAUCCUGCUCCUGCUGCUAACUUUCGGCCCCUGCGUCCUCUACCGGCUGCUCCAGUUCAUCCGAGAAAGAUUGUCUAUUACCCAAGCUCUGGUAUUAACUCAGCAAUGUCGGGCCCUCCAAACUGAAGAAAUAAAUGUUCCCUAAGAUUUUAAGGUUAAAAUCAGCCCAAACAAGAGGAGGGAAUGAAGAAACCUCCCCCCUUUUAAGUAGGGCCAGCCCUAAUCCAGAGGCAGCCCAUCCAGGCGCCUUCCUGAAAUUUUAGCAACUAAAAGCAUUCUGUUCACAAUAAGAAAACCAUUUCCCCCCACACCCUGAUUGGAAUGUCCCUGAAUAGGUUCAUGUUGACCCUCUGUGAAAUCAACCUGGAUGCUAUGCGACUCCCGGUUCUUUUGCCUUUAGGCGGUUUCUUUCCUUUUGCCUUUAAAAGAUCCCUGUGAUUGCUAAUCGGGGCUCUUUUCCUCCUCGGAGGCGGAGAGCCCGUUUGCGCAAACGUUCAAUAAACCCUCUUGCUAAUUGCA